GGGGACUUGGUGUAGUGGUAACACGCGCCACCGACAGAAGCCACCAGUGCGGAUUGGGCCUGGCCAGCCCAAUCACGAGCUGAGAAUUAGCGUGUGGGGCGAGUCAGAGGUUCGAUUUCUCCAGUCUCCA